UCCAGACACCCAGCUCAGAACAGCAGCUCUUCCUCGCCCUCAGCCGAUCUUAGUCGCCGAAGAGUCGAGAGCAAGUGGCAUUGGUCUCGGCAUGAAGAUUCUCUCUCUGGGAACCUGUUGGAAGAUCCUCUACAAGACCUCUUGUAGAUGGUCUUCUGCUAGAUUGAGGUGAGAGUCCGUUAUGCGCCAAGUUGUUGAAUGUCUUAACCGUUCCUUCUUUUCUUCUCACAGAGCUGCUCUGACAAUUCCAACAGUUUUCUCUAGGAAUUUGUUUUGAGCCUUUUGGACAAGUCCUCUUCAAGAUAACAGAUUUCCUUGCGCAAGAGAAGGGGAUGAAAUACACUUCUGAACCAACUAGACAGUCGCAGUCUAUCACAAACACAUUUUCAGCACCUCUCCCACUGUGUGGGACUCAGUUGCUCUCGGUCAUCACCUGCAACAACUCUAUGAUACUGCUCUUCUUGAUUUCAUGUGUUUUCCAGUUUGUGGAAAGCUUAAUUCAAUCUUUAUUAAAAUAGAUACAACAUCGAAGGAUGGCUGAAGAAGACUCUUGGUGACAAAUUUUGAUGGUCUUUUUGAAAUACCUCAACCAGGGAUCCAUAAGUUUGCGGUUCCACCUUGACUUGGAGCCUUGAUCUGUUCUCAGACGUCCUUUAUUGUAAUCUGCAUGAUUUUGAACAGCAUUUUAAUGUCCAUGGACCAUUCUGUCUUGUCUUUUGUAACAGAUCCAGAACCUGGAUGAGUUUCUACUGACUUUACGACUUUGCCCAGGACACCAUUGUGCUUGAUCUAACCAUGCAGUUCCCUUUCUGUCCAUGGUUUUGCCAAGCACUUUGGAGACUUGUGUGCACUUUCUUUCAUGUUUUUCUUACUUUUUGUUCAUUUCCUCUGAGCUACACAAUUUAAAGAAUCAAACCUUGUGAAACUUGUCUGUUGAAGUGUAAUGUUCCUGUCCAAAACAAGAGUGUUUUAAAGAAUAAAAUCCCUUGUGUUGUUUUGUUUGUUGAGUGUGACAUAUCAGUAUAGCAAGAAAAAUUAAACGAGUGGAAAUGGUGA